ensembl:lncRNA
AUUUAAGCAAUGGAAACAGGAAGCAUUUCACUUUUCCCCUCCAUGCUUCCUCCAGUGGUGGGAUGUGAGCCACUGGCAAGGGAUUUCCAAACACUGAGAAGAGACCCCUCAUUGAGGCCACCAAUUUAGACUCUUCAUAAUGUCUUCCUGUGGGUCUCUGCUACAGCUCAUAUCUGUUGUUGGGGAAGCCUCUCUGAUGGUGAAUGGACAAGGCACUGAUCUAAGAGUAUAGAAGAUGUGCAACUGUUGCAAGAUGCCAUGAACAAGAUGACUUCCUCUUACUCCUAGAACCACACGCAGAAUUGCACGGAUACUUUCCUCUGAGUCUCCAGCUCCAAGUCCUGAGAAGCCAAAUUCAGGGAGAAGAUGUCCAGGAGACCAUGGCUAGAAGCCUUCUCCAAGGCAGGAAUGACAAAGACAUUAGAGUCAGCAUGUGAUCUACUUAGGCUAUUGUAUAUGGCUUGCAAGCCUUUGCAGGCCCUUGUCCAGAAUAGGAAGCCUAGACAUCAUGUCCCUUGCUCAUAACUUCCUUCUCUCUGCUCCUUAUAUUCUGGCCAGUAACCAGCCUGAGUCCCCUCUCCCUGAAAUUGUCCACAGUAUUACUCAAACUCUGUGCCUCAGCUUAAUGGGCUCUUCUGACUGCAUUACCCCCUCCAUUAGCAUUAUGACAAAUUCUUGUGUUCCAGAAAGUUACAACUGUCACCCAGUCAAUCUACAGGAUUGAGGAUAUGCAUGUCCCCAUCAGGGGAGUAUCUGUCCCUGUAGAUUUGUGGUGACUGCUUCUCUUCUGUCCAGCUUUAUCUCUGGCAACUGACAAAAAUGUUCAGCAAAACAUUGGUGCUGGGGAAAAAUCUAUGCAGAACAAAAGAAAGAAAUGGCCAUAACGACAUAGUGUAAAUGUUCAAAUAUGAAGAAUUAUAGGAGUAGUGAAAGAAAGGUGAAGAAUUUGUAGAUGAAGGAUAUGGAGUGGAAGCUGGAGAUAUGUUUCUAAGACAAAGAGAUAAGAGCAGAACAGGACAAGACAAGAGGAAAGCAUGAGGUUGUUGAAAAAUCUGUUACUACAGAUAACGUGCAGGACACUAUAAAUAUGUUAAACACUGAAUUGCCUAACUAAAGUAAUGGUUGAAAAAUAUGCUAGUGUAGUUAAAAACAAUAUACUUAUAAAAUUUUAAUAUUCUGAGAAAGUAACUUACAAAGUCGACUUCAUAAAAUGCCAGUAUACUUAAGUCAUUGAAUACAUUGACAGAUUUUUAAGAAAAGUAAUGCAAUUCUGUCAUGUGGAAAUUUUUCUUCAAACUGGAAAGUAAGUAAUCUUUUGUUGCAUAUAGUAUUUAUAUUACAGAGCUAGAAUAAUUGCCUAUUGACACUGCCACUUUGUAUGUGCGGGAUGUGUGUGAAUGUUUAUUCUGUGAAGAGAUGAGAUCUUUGUGUCAGAAAUAUGGCAAAUAAACAUGAGGCUAUUACUGAUAAAAGUCACUAAAUGUCAUUGUUUUAUACAUAACUUCAAAGAUACUAGACUAUCUUUGUUGUAGUUUUCUAACAGAUGAUAAUUAUAAGUCACAAUUGGCACAGAAAAAAAAAUAAGACCAUUACAGUUUUUACAUAUAUUAUCUAAACAUCUACUUUCUCCUUACUGGCUGUAAUUGUGAUGAUCUCUUUUAAUCUGAGUUACUUCUGAUUGUGUGUGUUGUUGCAAAGUGAGUUCCUGGGACAUUUCAGCAUCUAUUGUUAAAAUCUCUGGAGAAGCAAUAAUGAUCAUGUAAUUAUUGUUCGUCAACAGUUUGACUAUUAUAUAUCAUUUACAGUCAAUUUAAUUAAAAAGCUCACUGAAUAUUCUGGCAUUAUGUAAAUAAUGUGAAUGAACACAAGAGCUAUUUGUUACGAAAAACACUUAAAAUAGUACUAUAGACACCACAUUUUGCAACUGGAUCGUUAUCUCAGUAUUUCUUAUAAAUAAGUCUUAGAAAAUUGUUUGUGCUACACUUUGAAUUUAGAAUUAAGAAGGGAUUCCUCUACUUUUACUGUGUGUCGCCUUGUUGUCAAUAUGAUUAAAACCCAGAUAAAAUGAGUCUACUGCUGAUAAGCUAUGAAAUAGAAGUAUUGCAUUUUCUUCAUGAUGAAUAAUACAAUACUCAGGUUUGGAAUGAGUGUGUUUUAGCCUAUGUCAGGUUAGAUUGCAUCCUGUCUAUGAUAUUUAUUUGAGUCAUGGGUCGCUUCUCAGGUUUUUUGAAAACUGUGAUGAACUAUUUGCAGAAAUGCUACAUCCUGUAUUUUUGCAUUAAGAUAAGAAGCAUAAAGUAAAAAUUCUUCCAUUAGUCAAAAAUAUAAUAAUAACUGCCUUAGGAUUGCUUUACUCUGAUGAAACAAAAGAAACUUGGGAAAAAAUUUGAAGGAAGGGAUUUAUUCAACUAUUACUUCCACAUUACAGUUCAUCCUCAAAUGAAUUUAGGACAGAUGCUCAAGCAGGAAAGGAACCUGAAGACAGAAAGUGAUACAGAAGCCAUGGAAGUUUGCUGCUUAGUUGGUUGCUUCCCAUUGCUUGCUCAGUCUGUUUUCUUAUAGAACCCAGGAACCACCAGUCCAGGAAUAGCACCACCCACAAUAGGCUGGGCCCACUCCCAUCAAUCACUAACUAAGAAAAUACCCUACAGGUUUGUCUACAGCCUGAUUUUAUGGAGGUAUUUUCUCAAGUGAGGUUCCUCCUCUCAGGUGACUUUAGCCUGUGUCAAGUGGAUAUGAAACUAGCCAGUCAGUACAGGAACCAACAUAAGGCAUAAACCCUCUUUAUAGGGAAGCCAAAGUAACAAGAGUUUUGAAAGUGAACACAUGAGUGAGUAGGUCCAGAGACAGGGGAAUCCUUAGAACUUGGUGAAAAUCCAUUGUAACUAAUGUAAGAGAACAAGGUUAAAUUUGAGAACCUGUCUCAAUAAAUAAAUAAGUAAAGAACAUGAGAGAAAUAAACCUGGAGUUGACAUCUGACCUCCACAUGUACAGAUAGAGGCAAGUACACCUAGACACAUUUGUGUAAACACACAUGCACUCACACAUACACACACACUCUCUUUCUCACACACUACAAACAUAUAUACUAAAAUAGGUAAAUGUCAAGUUAUUAAAUUGUAGCAUUUGUUUUUAAAGUUUACCUUAUACUAAGUGAAAUAGAAAUUAGUUAUUGUGUAAAGAUGUAAAGCUUUAUUCCCUCAAAGUCUUUAAAAGAUCAUCUAUUUCACAAUUCUUCCUAAAGCUAUCAUCAAUGUUUCAAUUCUUCUUUUAUUUACCCCAAAGGCAUGCUUGUCUACACUUAUGAUAUCAAAGAGAUGGUAUGAUGAGUUCAGAUUAAACAAAAUGUUUUGCUAAUCUAAAAUCAUUUAGCUAAAAAAUACCACUCAAUUUUAGUAUCCAUCUUAGACUGUAUUUUAAAUCAUAUUACAGUUUUCACAAAAAACAGGUAAACAAAGAUAUCCACCAUAACAUUAGGCACAAAAAUAAAAGAUACAGAUAUUGGGGUUCAGGCUUCAACCUGAAGAUCAUACAAGCAAAGCAGCUGGCCACUAGCUCUUACCUCUACCUCAGCUCAGACUAAAGGGGCAAUCCUCAGACUACUGCCAACUUUACUACUUCUCAGUUUCACUCAGACUGCUAUGCUUUCCUCAGAAUUGUUUUUUUGACUAACUCUCAGACUGAAUGCCUGUACCUUUUAUACUUCUCAAAUCCUGGGAUUAUAGGCAUGAGCUCUGAUUCACUCUCCGGUGGCCCAGGAGCAUCUUAUAUUCUGAGAUGUUCAAAAAUCUUAAUCCUGAGUCCUGGAUUUAAAUUUAUGUGCCUGGCUUCAAUGGCUAACUAGUGUGGCUGCUUUGCUAUUUUGAUUUUCAGUGGUUUUAAUAAAUCAUAAAAAAUAUUAGUCACCUGCCUCAUUGCUAUAACGCAGGGGGUGACAAGAAGCAUGUUAAAGGAGAAAAGGUGCCUUUUGACUCACAGUUACAGAUUGAAGCUCAUUACAGCAGGCAAGUCACAAUGGCAGGAUAUUGGGGUGGCUGUUCACAUUGAAUCCACAGACCAGAAGCAGAAGGUAUUGAUCCCCCUUGCUCAGGCCCUUCCAUGCUGGGGUUAAAGACGUGUGCUAUUACACCAAGCUUUCAUUAUGGGUCCUGGGAUCUAAACCCCAUGCUAAUUCUUUUGCAGUAGACAUUUUACCAACUGAGUCUUCCCACAUCUAAAUUUAACUAUUUUAAAUCAGCAGUUCUCAGGAAAUACACCAAAAUGGAAUUAUUCUACAGUUAUAUUUACUAUCAAUGUCUUCUCAUAACAUUUCAUCUAUUUCUUUGCAUGCUUACAGCUGAUUUAUUCUCCAUUCAUAACAUUUUAUUAUUUCCCCUAUAAGGAUUCAGGUAUUAUAUUGCCCUGCCGCUGUCACUUGGCAGAGUGCACUCAGGCAGUACCCUGGUCAGCCCUGAGCUCUAUGGAUUUUGCACACAGUUGCAAAGGACCCCAUUAAGAGAAAGACCCCAACCACAAAGUGGUCUUUUUGCCUGCUCAUCUCUUUCUGCUAUCUUCUCUUUCCUGAUCCUCUCUUUCCCCUGUCUUGCCUGCUGCUCCCCUGGGGCAGACCAGACUUUUCCUGUCUCCCCCUUCUCUCCUGUACUCUCUCUGUGUGUCUCUUUCCCCUUUUCUCGUCCCUUCCUCCUUCCAUCUCUGUUCCCAGUUGGCCAACAUCUACUCCUCCAUUCAUUCCCAUUCCCAACAAACUCCAUAUGUGUUUGCUGAGUUUUGUGGUUAGUGUUUCAUUGCCCACAGCCUCAGCAAAAACUACAUCCCCCACUGGAAGACAAAUGUUACACAAUCUCAAUUUUAUGUGUAACCUAGAAAUGAUGAACUUAUGGGAACAGAGAGCAGAAUUGUGGCUAUUAGGCUUCAAUGUGGGUCUUUUAACAAUGGGGAAACGAUUGGUUUAAGGAUAUAAAACUGCAGUUGGACAAGAGUCAUGGACUCUCUGAAGUCUUGAGGUCUACUGGGAGCAUGAUAAAUAUGGUUGAUAACAAUAUGCUCUAUUUUAAGAGUUGUGAGAUAGUAUACUUUAAGUGUUCUCAAAACAAAAAUGAUGAAUAUGUGUGAUAUAACAUGUUAAUUGGUUUAAUUUAGCCAUGCCAUUGUGAACAUACUGUAUUGUGUAUCAUAAUUGUGCAUGACUUUAUUUAUGAGCUAAAUAAAUGAAUGAAAAAAAACUGCAUCCCCUAUUAACACUGUCAUGCAUCAGUGGGCAGAAAAAUAAUAAUAUUCUCCUUAUGGAGAUACAGAUACUACCAAGGCUUUAUGAGACAAAUCCAAUAAUAAAAAUGCAUGUGAAAAUCCAUAUUUCUCUACUACAUUGAUUGGAGAGAUCCUGAUGUUGUAAAAUUUAAAGAAGUAAUUAUACCAAAUGAAAUAAUGAAUGAAUCAAAUAACCACAGGAAUGGUUUAAAGGAAAAGAACCAAUUGUCCCAAGAUCCAAAGUCAUAUAAGUAUGUGUUGUCUGAGCAGGGAGACUAUGUGGUUGAAGCAGUGACUGACAGGAGGGAUGGUGUACAAAGGAAAAGAAUUUAAUGACUUGUCAUCAUGGAGAGAAUGACAGUGCUGCAUCUUAUGAGCUUUGGGAAGACCUUGGCUCAUGCUAAAUACAAGACAGGAAGGCAGUAAAGGCUUUUAAGUAGGAGAGAUGUAGUACCUAGGUCAACUUUAGAAGGACAAAUGCUGAGUAGAGUCUAGAUUAGGU